CUAGAGCAGCCAGUGUCUCUCUGGUCUCUGCUGUGCUGCCUGGUAGGAUGAAAGGUGCUCUCCCAACGGGGCUGCCGGGUGUGUUGGGGGGACAGGUCAGUUCUCCCCCAAAUGCUGCUUAGGCACUGUCCAUUCUCUGGCAGACAAAGAGAAUCUCAGCCCCAGAGCCUCCUGAGCCAGCAGCCACUGUGGGUGAGGCCCUUCUCAGGUUCUCCACGCCUGCUGCAGUGCCUCUGGGUGAGAAAGUCUGAGGCCAUGGACUCACAAGACACUUCGUGGACCGGACUCCCUGCUGUGACCACGUCCAGUCCUGCUGUUCUGUGCUACCAGUUUCCUUUGCUUUGAACAUUUUAUUGCUGCAAAGCAAUGUUUGUAUUGCAAGCCUGUUCGUUUUCAAGUUCUCUACCUCUGAAGAGAAUUUACUUCAAGUCACGCUAACUCAAGAUAUCCAGCAAGGCUUUGGAUGAUACUCCUGUCUCCAGGACAUUUUCGAUGUAGGUGUAUGGGAGCAGAAAUGGGAUAUCAGUCAAGGACUCAAGCUCAGACACUUUCUUCGAAGAAGGUCAUGGUGCAGUCCAAGAGCAGUGAUAACCAAGGGAUCCUUUCACGUCCUUUCCUUCUCAUGUAACUUCCAUGUAUUCAUCUAACAUUAUGCAAAAAGAGAAAACAUGAAUCAUGCUUUUUAAUUCUCUGGUCAGGGAAUGUUAAUGUUCUCCUACUGAGUAGAUGAAGAACAUCAGUGUUCUCACUUCAGCUAAUCUGGGUCCUGCAUGUGAGCACAGGACGGAAAUUUCUGCAAGACUAUAUCUACUCUGAUUCCAAGGGAACCUAUUUGCUUGCACCACAGGGAAAAUAAUAAAACGAACUUUGAUCUUG